CCAGACUCCUACGGGAGGCAGCAGUGGGGAAUAUUGCACAAUGGGCGAAAGCCUGAUGCAGCAACGCCGCGUGAAGGAAGACGGUUUUCGGAUUGUAAACUUCUGUUCUUAGUGAAGAAUAAUGACGGUAACUAAGGAGCAAGCCACGGCUAACUACGUGCCAGCAGCCGCGGUAAUACGUAGGUGGCAAGCGUUGUCCGGAAUUACUGGGUGUAAAGGGAGCGUAGGCGGGAAGCCAAGUCAGCUGUGAAAACUACGGGCUUAACCUGUAGACUGCAGUUGAAACUGGCUUUCUUGAGUGAAGUAGAGGUUGGCGGAAUUCCGAGUGUAGCGGUGAAAUGCGUAGAUAUUAGGAGGAACACCAGUGGCGAAGGCGGCUUACUGGACUGUAACUGACGUUGAGGCUCGAAAGCGUGGGGAGCAAACAGGAUUAGAUACCCGAGUA
rnacentral:rRNA from 1 species